rnacentral:rRNA from 1 species
GAUGAACGCUAGCGAUAGGCCUAACACAUGCAAGUCGAGGGGCAUCACAUGAGGCAGCAAUGCCGAUGGUGGCGACCGGCGCACGGGUGAGUAACACGUAUGCAACCUGCCUUCAACAAGGGGAUAACCCGUUGAAAAACGGACUAAUACCCUAUAAUACAGGGGUCCCGCAUGGGGAUAUUUGUUAAAGAUUGAUCGGUUGAAGAUGGGCAUGCGUUCCAUUAGCUGGUUGGUGAGGUAACGGCUCACCAAGGCAACGAUGGAUAGGGGAACUGAGAGGUUUAUCCCCCACACUGGUACUGAGACACGGACCAGACUCCUACGGGAGGCAGCAGUGAGGAAUAUUGGUCAAUGGGCGAGAGCCUGAACCAGCAAGUCGCGUGCAGGAAGAAUGUCCUAUGGAUUGUAAACUGCUUUUGCAGGGGAAUAAAUGAGCCACGUGUGGUUUUUGUAUGUACUCUGCGAAU